GAUAGAUGGAUGGAUGGAUGGAUGGAUGGAUGGAUAGGGUAAAAGGCACAUCCAUACAGUCUGUUCUAACAGGUGAUGUUGUGGUGCAACAAUAACCUCCAUCAUGUCUGCAUGAGGACAGCAACACGAGCUUCCUCCAACUUUACUUCAAUGUUUAGUUCAAUAAAA